rnacentral:misc_RNA from 1 species
AAACCAAACUAGUUUUGAGGAGUACCUAAGCAAUAACUCCAAUGUAAAUCCAGGGAUUGACUUGACAGUUACUGUUUUGACAACUGGCUUCUGGCCAAGUUACAAGUCAUUUGAUUUGAACCUUCCAGCAGAGAUGGUAUGUUUGUUUGUUUCUGUUUUAGUCAGAAUGUUAGCAUGUUGGUUGGGCUACUAAUGUAUUUUCUUCUCUAUUGCUGCUUUAGGUUAAAUGUGUUGAAGUUUUUAGUGAAU